ensembl:misc_RNA
UUACUUUACUCUCACGUGCUUGCCGGCUCCACCUGCCCAUUUAGGCAGAUGCCUGUCUGCCUUCCAUUAUGGCCGUAUAACAAGAAAGACAACAGUCAAACUAAAAAUACGCCAGAAUCUUU